rnacentral:rRNA from 1 species
GACGAACGCUGGCGGCGUGCUUAACACAUGCAAGUCGAACGGAAAGGCCCUGCUUGCAGGGUACUCGAGUGGCGAACGGGUGAGUAACACGUGGGUGAUCUGCCCUGCACUUCGGGAUAAGCCUGGGAAACUGGGUCUAAUACCGGAUAGGAGCCAUUUUUAGUGUGAUGGUUGGAAAGUUUUUUCGGUGUAGGAUGAGCUCGCGGCCUAUCAGCUUGUUGGUGGGGUAAUGGCCUACCAAGGCGGCGACGGGUAGCCGGCCUGAGAGGGUGGACGGCCACAUUGGGACUGAGAUACGGCCCAGACUCCUACGUGAGGCAGCAGUGGUUAAUAUUGCACAAUGGGCGCAAGCCUGAUGCAGCGACUCCGCGUGGGGGAUGACGGCCUUCGGGUUGUAAACUCCUUUCGCUAGGGACGAAGCUUUUUGUGACGGUACCUAGAUAAGAAGCACCGGCUAACUACGUG